AGGCGCAUAACUCAGUGGUAGAGUGCUGUUCUUACUUUACAGAAGUCGCUCGGUUCGAUUCCAGCUGCGCCCACCA
rnacentral:tRNA from 2 species